UACACGGCCCAUUGUAGCCAACAGAGAUUAGUAUCCUAAAAAUCUCAUACUGCCAGUGGAAGCCGACAGUGACUAUAAUAGAAGAGUCGACUCAUUUUAAAAAAAUGAGAGAAGCAUUGGAUUAUCCAAAAAGAGCCUCAAUGAAAGAAAAUAUUUUCAUUUAGAAGAUUUAGUAUAUUAUAACCAAGCGAAGCUCGUUACAAUAA
rnacentral:lncRNA from 1 species